GACGAACGCUGGCGGCGUGCUUAACACAUGCAAGUCGAACGGAAAGGCCCUGCUUUUGUGGGGUGCUCGAGUGGCGAACGGGUGAGUAACACGUGAGUAACCUGCCCUUGACUUUGGGAUAAUUUCAGGAAACUGGGGCUAAUACCGGAUAGGAGCUCCUGCUGCUUGGUGUGGGUUGGACAGUUUCGGCGGUUGGUGAUGGACUCGCGGCUUAUCAGCUUGUUGGUGGGGUAGUGGCUUACCAAGGCUUUGACGGGUAGCCGGCCUGAGAGGGUGACCGGCAACAUUGGGACUGAGAUACGGCACAGACUCCUACGGGAGGCAGCAGUGGGGAAUAUUGCACAAUGGGAGGAAGCAUGAUGCAGCAACGCCGCGUGCGGGAUGACGGCCUUCGGGUUGUAAACCGCUUUCGCCUGUGACGAAGCGUGAGUGACGGUAAUGGGUAAAGAAGCACCGGCUAACUACGUG
rnacentral:rRNA from 1 species